UGCAAGUCGAACGGUAACAGGUCUUCGGAUGCUGACGAGUGGCGAACGGGUGAGUAAUACAUCGGAACGUGCCUAGUAGUGGGGGAUAACUACUCGAAAGAGUAGCUAAUACCGCAUGAGAUCUAAGGAUGAAAGCAGGGGACCUUCGGGCCUUGCGCUACUAGAGCGGCUGAUGGCAGAUUAGGUAGUUGGUGGGAUAAAAGCUUACCAAGCCGACGAUCUGUAGCUGGUCUGAGAGGACGACCAGCCACACUG
rnacentral:rRNA from 1 species